CCUACGGGAGGCAGCAGUGGGGAAUAUUGCACAAUGGGGGAAACCCUGAUGCAGCAACGCCGCGUGGGUGAAGGAGCGUUUCGGCGCGUAAAGCCCUGUCAGCGGGGAAGAAGAAAGACGGUACCCGACCAAGAAGCCCCGGCUAACUACGUGCCAGCAGCCGCGGUAAUACGUAGGGGGCGAGCGUUAUCCGGAAUUACUGGGGGGAAAGGGAGCGUAGACGGGGAGGUAAGCCUGAAGUUGAAGCCCGCGGGCUAACCGCGGAACUGCUUUGGGAACUGUGUUGCUGGAGUGUGGGAGGGGUAAGCGGAAUUCCUGGUGUAGCGGUGAAAUGCGUAGAUAUCAGGAGGAACACCAGUGGCGAAGGCGGCUGUCUGGACCAUAACUGACGUUGAGGCUCGAAAGCGUGGGGAGCGAACAGGAUUAGAUACCCGGGUAAUC
rnacentral:rRNA from 1 species